rnacentral:rRNA from 1 species
GAUGAACGCUGGCGGCGUGCCUAAUACAUGCAAGUCGAGCGAACAGACGAGGAGCUUGCUCCUCUGACGUUAGCGGCGGACGGGUGAGUAACACGUGGAUAACCUACCUAUAAGACUGGGAUAACUUCGGGAAACCGGAGCUAACACCGGAUAAUAUAUUGAACCGCAUGGUUCAAUAGUGAAAGACGGUUUUGCUGUCACUUAUAGAUGGAUCCGCGCCGCAUUAGCUAGUUGGUAAGGUAACGGCUUACCAAGGCAACGAUGCGUAGCCGACCUGAGAGGGUGAUCGGCCACACUGGAACUGAGACACGGUCCAGACUCUUACGGGAGGCAGCAGUAGGGAAUCUUCCGCAAUGGGCGAAAGCCUGACGGAGCAACGCCGCGUGAGUGAUGAAGGUCUUCGGAUCGUAAAACUCUGUUAUUAGGGAAGAACAAAUGUGUAAGUAACUAUGCACGUCUUGACGGUACCUAAUCAGAAAGCCACGGCUAACUACGUG